AUAGAUAGAUAGAUAGAUAGAUAGAUGAUGCAUAGAAUGCAGUGAUAAAAUGCACCAACCUGAAAAUGUAGAGUUAAGAAAAAGAGAACAUGGAGUUUUCCACUCUGUAACCCUGAGGCAAAGGAAAAAAAAAUAUGAAUGAAAAAGCAAAGAAUGGCAAAAAUAAAGAUUUUUAUCUAGAAUCUCCCUUCCAGCAAAAGAGAAAGUGGUGCCAGCAGCAUAUUCAGCAUUUCCUGUGCAUUUGCAUAGGCCAUGUACUAGGAGACUAUUGCAAGAAGAUGAAAAUCAGUGUUGACUGUUUUAAUCCGUUAUCAACAGGCACGGAGCAUGGCGACAUUUUGAAGGGUUGCAUGUAAUCGCAAUUUCUGGGUUUUUACUUUUGUUUCUUAUGGUCCAGUCCCCGACUUUCUAUUUGAUGGAAUGCAACUCAUGAGGUUUCCUUAUUGAAAUAAAAUCCUCUGUUCUCUCCCUUGCACAGGAGCAAAGCAGGCGAGAUGUAGGACAAGUUCGUUGUCUGGAUUCAGAACCAUGGAGGGGCGGGAGUUCGGGGAUACUCCAUUUGGGAGCUAGCUGUCCUGCUUUCCCUCACCACCAGACAGGGCCACAGGAUGGCCUGGGGUUCCGGGCACUUUGGGCUGCCCAGCAAGGGUCCCCCAUAAUCGUAAGCAUUCUGUAGGCAGCGGGGAAAAUGCCCGGUGUCUCUGCAGAGAAGUGAAUCCUGGCACAUAAAGACUUCUCUCUGUUCACAGCCUGUUGCACGGGGAGGGAGAGAGGGCGAACAGGUCACUGGCUGUUCCAACUCUCCCUCUUCUCUUCCUUUUUGGUCCCCAGCUGGCAUUUGAAUGCAGUGAAAAGUGCUGGCUUGAGAGAUCAUAGAGACAUGAAUCUUUCUUGGCGAAACAGUGACAGCGUGGCCGGGAUACCCUUUCGAGUCCCUCCCAUUGGCUUCCAAAUCAGCCUUCCCACAGACUCUGACCCUUGCACCUGUUUCCAGCUUUGCAUAGGACUUCCACAUACUACUGGGCUUUUAUUUGUGCUCUACAGCAAGUCAUUGAAUGCCCACAGGAGAAAGAACCAAAUAAUGAUCCAUUAUUUAAAAAAAUGUGUCUGUGUAUUGCUUUCCCUUCCCAGAGCGAGCACACUAGGUAUUUACAUGGAAAGUACUUAAUUACGCCCCUCGUUAAUUCUACGAACUAAAGUGUGGACACGAACACUGUCUGAUCACGUGGGUGUACGCGUUGUAAGCAUUUUAACCUGCUUUACAGGAGGGGUGGUCAGACCAUGUGCUUAUUGAAUGCCACUAGACAAUAUCCAACAGCUAAAUAUACAACAUGUCAGAUGUGUUGAACAAAAGCAUGGACAUGAACAGUUUGUUGAGCGGUGGGGAGAGAGACAAAAGAGGAUCAGGUUAAUGAGAGGUAGAAGUAGCGUGUGUGUGUGUGUGUGUGUGUGGUUGAGGGUGUGUAGGUGUGUGAGUAUGUACAGGUGAGUGUGUAUGAGUGUGAGAGCAUGUGAAUGUGAGUGUGUGGACAACUGUGUGUAAGUGUAUGAGCGUGUGAGCACGCAUGCAUGUGAAUGUGUGUGUGCAAGUGUGCUCUCAGAAGAAUGGAUUUGUGCACACAUCUCACACUAUAUCUGUUUCCUCCUGAAUAAUCUCCUCCACCAUCCCCUUGGCUCUUCUGCAUCACACAAAACAUAAGAGUAUUUGUUCUCCUUAACUGCAUCUCCCCUCUUCCUACCUUGGGCAUCUCCAUCACUUCCCCCAUCACCUUCAGGGAGCAUGUGUUGACGGAUGAAUGGAUAAAGACAAUGUGAUAUGUACAUACAAUGGAAUGCUAUUCAGUCUUAAAAAGAAGGGAAAUUAUGCCAUUUGUGACAACACAGAGGGACCUGGAGGACAUUAUACUCAGGGAAAUAAGCCAGACACAGAAGGACAGGACAAAUAUUGUAUGAUCUCAUUUAUGUGGAAUCUGAAGUAGUCAAACUCACAGAAGCAGAGAGUAGAAUGGUGGGUUCCAGGGGCUGGAUUGUGGGGAGGUGGGGAGAAGUUGGUUAAAGGAUACAAACUUCUAGUUCUAAGAUGAGUGCAUUCUGGAGACCUAAUGUAUAGCUUGCUGACUAAUUAAGAAUACUGUACUGUGUACUUGAAAUUUGCUGACAGUAGAUCUCAAGUGUUUUCUACACACACACACACACACACAAAGGUAACUAUGUGAAGUGAUGAAUGUGUUAAUUAACUUGAUUGUCGUAUCAUCUCACAAUGGAUACAUAUACCAAAUCAGCACGUUGUACACCUUCGAUAUAUACAAUUUUGUCAAUCAUACAUCAAUAAAGCUGGAAAAAAUUUUCUUAUCCAAGGAAUUAAAGAUGAAUAAAUUCUAGCAUUACUAUCAAACGGGAAAAAAAAGAGAGGUGUGUCUCUGCCCUCCCACCAUUGGUCCUUAACUCCAAGAUUAGCUGUACCAGCAUCAGCUCCACCGUCCCCAGAACGCCCACAGGCAGGGGUGGUGGCUUAUAACAGGAGGAACAGCCACUUGCAACCCCCAACCCUGCCCCUUCCACACAGGCCACUUCAGGAUUGCACCGCCUCAGGGGUUUUCGCUGAGAGAGGCUGGAUGAAAACCAGCAAAAUUCAGAAGGGCAGGGCUGUGAUGUAUGAUUUUAAAAAGAUGUUGUGGAUAGUUGGGAGGCAGGAUUGGAGAUGGGAUUAUCAAUUCAUUCCUCACUUUUUAAAUUCGUUUUUUCUUAUGGUAAUUUUCCCAUAACAUAAAUGGAACCCUUUUAAAGCGUGUAAUGCCGUGGUGCUAACUACAUUCACAGGGUCGCACAGCCGUCCCCUCUCUCUAGUCUCCAAACAUUUUUAUCAACCCCAAAGGAGACCUCCACACCGACCUGUGAAGCCGAGGUUCAUUUUAAUUAGCAAAAAUACAGGCGUCAACAGUUUGAGCGCCAGUCUGCAAUCAUUUUUUGAAAAAUGAUUCUGUUUCCUGUAUCUUACGGGGCUCCCUGUCUGUUAAUGGUCAAUUCAUACUGUUUGCGUGGCCUGAUAGCAAAUCUUACCCGCUAGAUGGCACCAAACACUAGCAUUUUCCUGCUUAACUCAGAAGCAGAUUAUUUUGGACACGUCCUAAUAUUUUCCCCCAAACCCUCAUGGGAAGUUUAGCUGGAAGGUGGACAAAUGUGAAUGGCGAUGAUUCCAAUGGAUCAUCCAUACAGAUGGUUUUCAGGAUCCCUUCUUGUUAAGUGGUUGAAGAGAUGUGUGAACAUUCCCAAUGACAAGCACCAACAGCCAAGGAUUCCAGCCCUUAGAGCAGGGUGACCUUCUCACCCUCCAGGAAAACUUUCCUCUCUCUUCUUGGCCAGCAUCGUAUGAGCAGCAGCCUGUCAGCGACUCUGAAGCCUCUGUCUUCUGCCGUUAGCCAGCGAGGCCCACAUCUCUCAUUGGAGAGAUCAGCUGUUGUUUUGUUCUUGGGGCAACUCACAAUUUGUAGGAAACAGCAGGCCCUUCUUCCACAAUCCCUAAGCCACUUGUCAACCAGGUAAACUGGUUAAGUGUUUUCUCAGACGAUUGAUUGAUUGAGCACAAAUAUGAGGUCCUUACCCAACUCCUUGCCCUGCUGUCCUGAGCAUCUCUCUUCUCAGCACGCUGAUAAAACCAGAAAAUGUUCUACAGGAACGUUUGUUACUACGAGGAAGAAGAUUUGAAAUAUAAAAUGGCAAUGUCAAUACCCACUGUCUUAUUCCUUCUGGUCUGAUGUCAUUGGUUAAAAAAUAUAUUUUGGAAAUUAUUUUUGAGUUUCCUAAGGGCAUCGUAAAGUUUUCAUACCAUCCCUUGAUGAAAAAUGAUCUGAUAUAUUGCCAAAAACCCAAAUAGUUUUGGAAAGGAUGAAGAUUUGUCUCUGUGGAGGUGUUCUCAAUAAUACCUUAAAUAAAGGGAGGUCCCAGUGGAAGUGGGCAGAGUAUACACAUCAAAUGGCUAGGUUCUGAAAACCUUUCCAGUGAGAAGGAAGUUCCAAGGAUGUUGGAUCAAUAGCAGCACCUCUGAAUAUGUGGAUAGCUCUGUGGACGUGACUUUGAAGGAGUCAACAGACUUUGUGUGUGUACGUCUGUAGAUUUAAGCCAAACGUGUAUUUUGGAAUCUUCAGCACUGCCACUUGUAUGUCAUGCCUGGUGCUCCCCCAAACUCGUACUCUCUGCUGGCCUCCAUACUACACACACGGGUCCUAACAUGGAAGCUGAAAAUAAAUACAUUUCUGUAUUCUUCUUACUCGGCUAAUACCAUCAAGUGGAAAAUGAAGACAUCACAUCACUUUCUUCACUCAAUCCUUCAAUAGAAAUAUGCUGGAGAAUCCAAGGGCAUUUUUGCUCAUUUUGGUUUUGCUCUGGGGGUUUAAGACACAUUCUUAGCCGUCUCCAUGUUAAUUGGCCACGAGUAUUUUCUUAGAUUAUUCUGAAUUAAUGAUUCCACAUUUUUUUUCUUGUACAAAUAUGUUGAGUAUAGGUCUAAGCUAGGUAAUAUAAUCCUUUCUGGCUUCCUAACAACUCAUAAACUUAAAGAAGAGAUUUUAUUUUUAAUUCAUUGUAAAUGGCUCAGGUCCCCAGAAAAUAAACUCCUUUUAGAAUUUGUGAACUCAUUGUAAGAUGAGUUACGCAUAAUGAGUAAUAACCCAGAUACAAGGAUUAUGUAAAAUAUCUACACAGAAAAUACCGCAAGAAAUCAACACCAGAGAAAAUGAAAGAUGUAUCUGUGUUUGCUUUAUAGGAUACCAAAAUAGUCACUAAGUGCAAAAAUUACUUAUGUUUGGGGCAGGCCCUGUGGCCAAGUGGUUAAAGUUCUGCAUGCCCUGCUUCAGCGGCCUGGGUUUGUGGGUUCGGAUCCUGGGUGCAGACCUGCUCUGCUCAUCAGCUGUGCUGUGGAGGCAUCCCACAUGCAAAAAGAUAGAGGAGGAUUGGCACAGAUGUUAGCUCAGGGCUAAUCUUCCAAAAGCCAAAAAAAAAAAAAAAGAAAAA
ensembl:lncRNA